rnacentral:rRNA from 1 species
GGUGCACCAGGCGCGAAAACUUUACAAUGCUGGCAACAGCGAUAAGGGGACCUCGAGUGCCAGGAUACAAUCCUGGCUGUCGUAAUGCCUAAAAAGCAUUUCAUAGCAAGGGCCGGGCAAGACCGGUGCCAGCCGCCGCGGUAACACCGGCGGCUCGAGUGGUAACCGCUAUUAUUGGGUCUAAAGGGUCUGUAGCCGGCUGACUAAGUCUCUUGGGAAAUCUGGCAGCUCAACUGUCAGGCUUUCAGGAGAUACUGAUCGGCUCGAGACCGGGAGAGGUGAGAGGUACCUCAGGGGUAGGGGUGAAAUCUUGUAAUCCUUGAGGGACCACCAGUGGCGAAGGCGUCUCACCAGAACGGAUCUGACGGCAAGGGGCGAAAGCUAGGGGCACGAACCGGAUUAGAUACCCGGGUAGUCCUAGCCGUAAACGAUACUCGCUAGGUGUCGGCCACGGUGCGACCGUGGUCGGUGCCGUAGGGAAGCCGUGAAGCGAGCCACCUGGGAAGCACGGCCGCAAGGCUGAAACUUAAAGGAAUUGGCGGGGGAGCACAAGGGCGAUUCGCG